GAACAAGUUGGCUGCAACCAGCUCGCCUGAUGGGUGCGAUCUUCCCAUGUCGCGCCAUGCCAAGACCGAGUGGGAGGUGUCGCGGUGGUCCAUGUCUGGACACAGGCUUGCUUUGAUUAACAGCGUUUAUUGCUACGUAUUAUGUUCCACACUGGAGCUGAAAUGAACCCUGCCAGAUCCUUCACCCCUGCUAUGUUCAAGAGGAACUUCAUGAACCACUGGGUGUACUGGGUGGGUCCCAUGAUCUGUGGUUCUAUGGGCGCCGUCAUGUAUGACUUCAUGCUCUUCC